rnacentral:rRNA from 1 species
UACGUAGGUGGCAAGCGUUGUUCGGAAUUACUGGGCGUAAAGCGCGUGUAGGCGGCUCUUCAAGUCAGACGUGAAAGCCCCGGGCUUAACUCGGGAACUGCGUUUGAUACUGUCGAGCUAGAGUGUGGAAGGGGCGAUUGGAAUUCCGUGUGUAGCGGUGAAAUGCGUAGAUAUACGGAGGAACACCAGGGGCGAAGGCGGAUCGCUGGGCCAACACUGACGCUGAGACGCGAAAGCGUGGGGAGCAAACAGG